AUGGGGACAUUCUACCUGUCGCCUUUAGGGACUAGGGCCCCAUGCCACCCACAAGGGGCUGCCCUGGAGCAACGGUGGGAUGGGAGGGCUUUGGGGGCAGCGGGUGGCCCUCAGAGGAGGCCGAGACUGCUGGGACGAGAGACGCUCCGGGUACUCACUCAGGGGCACUGCUGCUCCCCACACGGUCUUCAGAGCUGCGAUCUGGGGGCGCCUGGGGAGGGGAGAGAGGAGAGGCUGUCACGGUCGGCAGGGCGCAGCCUGCCCAGUGUCCCGGCUCUGUAUGGACGGAUGCAGCCACCAUGUACAGUCUGGGAGCCAUGGGCUCUCCCAGGCUGGGACUCCCACCCGCCCACUUCACAGGUCACAAGACUGAGGCCCCGCUGCAGGAGUGACUCACAAAGCUCACGCAGAGAGCAAGUGACAGAACCAGAGACCCAGACUCCUGCCUCCUGGGGUGCCAACCACAUGGGUCACCUGCCUCUCACCUCCAGGGACCAGGGCCCCGUGCCACCCACAUGGGUCACCUGCCUCCAACCUCCAGGGACCAGAGGCCCCGUGCCACCCACAUGGGUCACCUGCCUUCACCUCCAGGGACCAGAGGCCCCGUGCCACCCACAUGGGUCACCUGUCUCCAACCUCCAGGGACCAGGGCCCCGUGCCACCCACAGGGGUCACCUGUCUCCAACCUCCAGGGACCAGGGGCCCCGUGCCACCCACAUGGGUCACCUGUCUCUCACCUCCAGGGACCAGAGGCCCCGUGCCACCCACAUGGGUCACCUGCCUCCAACCUCCAGGGACCAGAGGCCCAGUGCCACCCACAGGGGGUCACCUGUCUCUCACCUCCAGGGACCAGGGCCCCGUGGCACCCACAUGGGUCACCUGCCUCUCACCUCCAGGGACCAGAGGCCCCGUGCCACCCACAUGGGUCACCUGUCUCUCACCUCCAGGGACCAGAGGCCCCGUGCCACCCACAUGGGUCACCUGCCUUCACCUCCAGGGACCAGGGCCCCGUGCCACCCACAUGGGUCACCUGCCUCCAACCUCCAGGGACCAGGGCCCCAUGCCACCCACAUGGGUCACCUGCCUCCAACCUCCAGGGACCAGGGCCCCGUGCCACCCACAUGGGUCACCUGUCUCUCACCUCCAGGGACCAGGGCCCCGUGGCACCCACAUGGGUUACCUGCCUCUCACCUCUAG
rnacentral:lncRNA from 1 species